rnacentral:rRNA from 1 species
ACGCUCGACACCUACGGCAGGCAGCAGUGGGGAAUAUUGCACAAUGGGGGAAACCCUGAUGCAGCGACGCCGCGUGAAGGAUGAAGUAUUUCGGUAUGUAAACUUCUAUCAGCAGGGAAGAAAGUGACGGUACCUGACUAAGAAGCCCCGGCUAACUACGUGCCAGCACGCCGGUACGGUAAUCGUGAGGCGGGCGUGGACGAAGGC